GAGGGUCUAGCUCAGUGGCAGAGCGCAUGCUUAGCAUGCACUAGGUCCUGGGUUCAAUCCCCAGUCCCUCC
rnacentral:tRNA from 1 species